GAAGCUCGUCAGCUGAGUUUCUCCGACGUGUUACACGUCUACGUAGUGGAAAGGUCCGUGCGAUGGAAAGACGACGAGCGUCAUGAAAAGUGUUCGAUGGAUGAAGAUAAAGGUGGGAAGAUUUAAGGGUAGAAACAAGCGUAGAAGUUACGAGGAUGCUGAUUAGAGUUUUAUGUAGUAGUAGUUGUAUCGAGAUUUAUGUCCAGAUGAUAUUUGUCAUCAUUUUGCAGUGAGGCAUGAGUCGUCGAAUAUAAUACUAUAAAUUUUACAUUUUGAACGUCAUCAGAGCUGGUUUCAACUUCUGACGUGUUUCCAAUUAGGUUUCGAGGAAACCCUUUGCGAAGGGAGAAUUUCUGUGGACGUCCCUCGGACACUGAUUACCACUCGCAGCAGUGGAAAGAAAGAGGUAACUGGGUUAAGGUCGGCCAGCAUCCGUGACCUCGACAAUUACCAUUCGACGCCCUUCGGCACGUGAAAGACAGUUUUCAUACAACGAAAAUGCUGGCGCAUUGUUGGACCUUCGACAUCCUCAUACCGUGUUUUAUGUCUACUUGAUGCACAAGUGGAAUGAAGACCUUACUAUUCAGACACAUAAUAAAGAAAUUAAUAGAAGACAAGUCUUAAAGUGGUAAGUGCAAAGGGAUGUCCUGGAGGCGCGCGGGUCCGGCGAACGCGGGACAGAGAGAAAAGAGGAAGAAAAGAGCUGACGGGUACACGAGGCUGGCAAGAUUAAUGGAUUCGCAUUGUCGGCAUUUUUUCAAGCGUUUUAGGACUACUUUUGAGUGCAGGAGAGCAUCUCAUUUUUCAAAAAGUCCGGUGCCGUCUGUAGGCCCCGAUAGAAAAAUUGCAAUCGAUUCGGCCCGCGCUAAUGGUUCCGAAUUAAGCGUGUCUGGUCUCUCGCGUUGCCGGCCUGGGAGUAUCGUCGAAUCAGCCUCUUGUAGGCCGUAAGUGUUACGUAAGAAUGGGUAUCGAUAGUCGUCUUCGUAAAUACCUCGCUGUUCAAGACACGUUGAGGAGAUUCGUUUCUCAUGGCGCAAUGACACGCUGUGACAUUUGAACGCCUCGUAGAGUUCGCUUCUUGCACAUAUGCGCACACAAUGGAGAAGCUUCUUGCAUCUUGUUCGAAGUUCAGAAACUCGUAAUUAAAUUAAGGGUGGAUGUGUCGAAAUAAACUUUUGUUUCAAUGAGAACGAUGUAAAUUGAAUUUAAUAAGAAAUUAAUAAAUAUUCGAUUCUCUGUGACUUU